rnacentral:lncRNA from 9 species
CUCUGCUGUUGGUGGGCGCUUACACACGUCUCAGAGGAACUGUGGGUGUCAGGUGGAACUAGGUUCCGAGGAACUUUCCAGGCCAUCCAGGCCCCUGAGGGGGUAGUGCCAUCCUGAACAAGGCAGGAAGCUGUGCAGAGGCCCCACAUCCUCCUAGGACACCUGCAGGGCCACGGCCACUGAGCAUCACCAGGGUGGCACAAGGACUCCUGGAGUCAGAAACCGAAGGGAUGCACUCUUCUGCUGGCAGCUGUCACCUGGAGACUCCCAAACUUGUCCCCAGGGAUGGGCCAGACUCUGGUCUGGACCACCCAGCUGCCCAGCCCAGGACUCUGGCACAGUUUUCGCCAUGGCACAUUCAACGUGUGCAGAGCACUCACGGUGCCAAUGCACCCCACCAGCCUUUCUCAAGGUGCCCCCAGCACAGCAACAGGCACCAUCUCUCCGGUGCUCAUGACAGAGACCUGGGAAUCCGCCUGGACACCUGCUCUCCCCUCCCCGCAAAGGGCUCAGUCUCCAGGUCCCGUGGGUCUGCCCAGACCCUCUGUCCCCUUGCCCUGACCCUGCCCAGACCCUCUGCCCCCUUGCUCUGACCCUAACUGGCUCCCACCACAAGACCCCCAUCCUGGGUCAGCCCCCUCCAAUCACUCUGCCACCUUUUGUCUGGAGGGGGCUUUCAGAGCCCUGCCUUCUGCUGAUGCAACACUCAUUCAGGGCUCGACGCAGCCUCCCGACCUUGUUCCCUCAGGCUCCGCGGGAAUGCGUCCCAUCCUUGGACUCUGCUCCUUGGUCCUAUUUCUCGAAAAACGUAUUCGACUUCUCGCACCAGAACCUUUCUGUCCGAGUGCUUGGCUCCUUUGAGCCCCUUGCCCGCCGCCCCUGCGGACACGCCCUCGUUUCCUCCCACCUCCGAGCCCUCUGUGGCCGACCGACCGAAGCCCCUCCGCUCGCCUGGACUGGGUGAGCUCCCCGACCCCGUACAGGUCUUCCUUCCCGCGGGGUUCCCUCCGAUGAGCCCUUCGUAAGCUGAAGAUAAAGUCAGAAAUGCACUGGAUGCGUCUAACCCGCCAGCAUCACAGCUCAGCCCUGCCCACCUUAAGGUACUCAGAGCGCUCACAGCAAACCCCCCCCCCCGUGUGUGUGUGUGUGCGUGUGCGUGUGCGUGUGUGUGCGUGCGUGUGCGUGUGUGUGUGUGUGCGUGUGCGCGCGCGCAUGCGCAUAUGCAGAAUCAGCCAACACCAAGUCCGUUCUGUAACAGUCGCGUAUCUCAGGUAAUUUUCACCGGAGGGAAACACACCAUCGCGUGCGGGUGCCACAAUUUCCCUGGCGAUCGCCGGGCGGACUGGGAGCUGAGUUUUGCUGCCUCUGCCCAGCGUCACGAGUGGCUCUCGGACUCUUCAUUUCACCGCCUGGGAAAAGGUGGGAAGUCACAGUUCCAAGUACAGCUUCUACCAAAUGCCUGUGGCUUUGGGUCUGUCAUAAAGUCGAAAAAUCCUAAGACGAGCCAUUGUAGUCGGGGACAUCUUUCUAGAUAACCCUUCACAUUCUCAUUGUCUGCAUUCAGGUGACCACGGGCUGGGGUCUGUGUCCUCCCAAGGCCACGAGCACCAGGAGGGCCGGACCGGUGUCGCUUCCCCAUCCCCGUGCCCGCCCUGUGACCGGUGCUUGAGAAGGGCCAGGAGAUGGUUGCCAUUUAUUUGACUGGGGGACGUUUUCCUGACACAGGAGAGAGGUGAGGCUUGAGCUGGGACCGGGGGCGGGGGGACAGGCGGGGGCGCCGCUGUGGGGGAGGGGUGGUCAACCAGGGUGGCUGGGGGGCCUGGCGGUGAUGGGGCCUCCAGACAGCCAACCCUGUGCCCGUGAAUUCAAGGAUUGCGGAGAGGAGAGGCGAUUUUGUCUGCAGUCGCCGUAAAGGGUCUUGAAAGGCAAGAGAGAAAUUGGGUCAUCUCGUGUUAGAAGAUGAAUCUGAAGAAUUUUGAGGAGGGGGCUUUGCUUUUAAAAGUAGAAUCCGGCUUUGAGAUCUGUCCGCACGUUUUCAAAAGGCGCCGGCGAGGUCCUUGUCGUCCAGCUCAGGGUCAGCUCGCGGGGACCUGGCGGGCCGGCCUUCCCACCCACCCUGGAAGCAGCUCAUUGCCAUAGAAACAUAAUGUGUUCCCAGUAAGUCCACAUAACCCAGGGAACCCGCCGGCCAAAUAAUUCAAAAAAAUCUAAGUUCACGUUUCUCUCAGUGUUGGUAUAAGAGGCAUUGAACGUUGUUUUCAUUGAGAGCAAGGAGGCAGAUACUGUACAAGGGACUGUGCCCUUUCUUCUCUUGAAAUUAAGAACUUAGCCCUUUAAACAUGUUUUUAAAAAUUAAAUGUAGUUGCUUUACGAUUUUAAUUUCUGCGGUCCAGCUCAAAAAGGCAAAAAAAAAAAAAGACAAAAGAGAAAAACAGCAUUCAAGCACCACCCUCCAUCCCCCUGUCCCUAAGAUGACAAAUUUCAUACUGUUGGUGUAUUUAUCCCCAAUUCAUUCUCCACCUUUCCAUCGGCUGUAACACUCUCAAGCUGAUGACUGUGUCAGGAAAGCCACUGAUCCUAUUCUCUCCUGGCUCCCUCUGUCUCCUGCUCCAAGCAGGUCUAACACCCUGGGCCUGCCACCCUGCUCAUUUUGGAACUUGAAUUCAUCAGUGUGCCAGAAGUUCUCUGCACCCCUCCCUGGGGAUGGAAGGUCUGUUUCCUGGAUGCCACUGCUUUCCUUCAGCAGAUUCUUCUCUUGUUGUGCGGGAGCACACCCUCAAGUAACUCUCUGGGAGAUGGUAAGGUUUGGGGGGGAUUUCUGUACCAGCCCGUGUCCUCAUUUCACUCUCAGCCUUGAUGGUUCAAAAGCGCAUGGGUUUUAGUCUGAUAACAAUUCCCUCCCCUGUGUUGCUUACGGACGCCUGGCUUCCAGAGCUGCUGUCAAGAGGUUCCAUUCAAGAUACUUUGCUUUUGACUGUUUGCUCUUCUCUUGGGCGAUGUUAGGAUUUUCUCCUUAUUCUUAACAACUGCCUCACUUAAAAUAAUCACCUGGGAGCUCCUGUUGUGGCUUAGCCAUUAGCAAACCCGACUAGCAUCCAUGAGGACAUGGGUUCAAUCCCUGGUCUCGCUCAGUGGGUUCAGGAUCUGAUGUUGGCAUGAGCUGUGGUGUAUGUUGCAGACGCGGCUUGGAUCCUGUGUGGCUGUGGUGUAGGCUGGCGGCUGCAGAUCCUAUUCGACCCCUAGUCUGGGAACCUCCGUAUGCUGUGGGUGCGGCCCUAGAAAUGGAAAAAAAAAAAUCAUCUGGGGUUUUAGUUCUAGGGUUUUUUAUUUUUACACGGUGCAAUUUCUUUCUUAAGAAUCGUCUCUUUCACAGUUGCCUUCACGUUUUUUUCAGCCAUGCUCUCAGCAAUAAAAUAUGUGUCCUUAGGUUUUCUGAGCUCUUUUGUUUGUCACUCUUUCUGUAUCCCCUGCCUUUUGCAUUUGCCUUUAUUUUUGUCGUCAUUUUCACUGGGACAUAUUUGGUAUCAAUUCCUCCAGAAAGAUAAAAUCAUUGGUGAAUUUUCUGAAUCAGAGUCUGCAAGUGUCUUUACUUUGUCUUGGUGCUUGCAUGACAUUUUAACUAGGCAUCUAAUUCUUCUAAUGACAUGUGAAGACAUUAUUUCAUUCUCACCCAUCGGGGCUGGGCAAUCACAGAUUUCACGGCCGUCUGGUCCGUGCCCCUUUGUAAGUGAGCUGCUUGCUUCCCGAAUCUGCUUUGUGUGUGUGUGUGUGUGUGUGUGUGUUUCAUCUUGAUCAUCAGAAAUCUCACUAAGUUGUGGGCAUGAGUGGCAGCGCCCAGCAACCUGUGGGCUCUUUCAGGGUGAGGCUUGCGCCUGUAUCGUUGUGGUCAGCCCCCUGGCAUUUCCUGGCCGCAUCCUGCCGUAUCUAACAGCUGCUGGUGGCUGUGCGUCUCUUACGUGCAGGGGGACCUUCCUCUGACCCUGUCACGCUUCUCCUGCUUCACUGUCUUCUGUGAAAACCCCUCCCCGGAGUUCCCGUUGUGGCGCAGUGGUUCACGAAUCCAACUAGGAACCAUGAGGUUGCAGGUUCCAUCCCUGGCCUUGCUCAGUGGGUUAAGGAUCUGGCAUUGCCGUGAGCUGUGGUGUAGGUGGCAGACACGGCGGCUCGGAUCCCGUGUUACUGUGGCUCUGGCGUAGGCCAGUAGCUACAGCUCCCAAUCGACCCCUAGCCUGGGAAACUCCAUAUGCUGCAGGUGCGGCCCUAGAAAUGGCAAAAAAAAAAAAAAAAAA